AACGCACCUUGCGCUCCUUGGUAUUCCGAGGAGCAUGCCUGUUUGAGUGUCAUGAACAUCAUCAACCUUCCGCCGCUUUUAAGCGGGGGGUAAGGCUUGGAAUUGGGGGUUGUCGGCGGCGACGCUCGACUCUCCUGGAAUGCAUUAGCUGGACCUUUUGGUUCUGUCUCCCUGAGCGGUUCUCGGUGUGAUACAUUCUUUAUUUGUUCACCUUGGUAGAACCCGUCUCGUGAAGGGGGGAUGGGACGGAUCCGGCUUCCAAUCGUCCUCGCGGACAGCUUUGACAAAUCUGACCUCAAAUCAGGUAGGAUUACCCGCUGAACUUAA
rnacentral:rRNA from 1 species